rnacentral:misc_RNA from 1 species
AAGUCGUAAUAAGGUUUCUAUAGGUAAACCUGCGGAAGGAUCAUUACAGAGUUCAUACCCGCGAGGGUAGACCUCCUACCCGUGUCUACUGUUACCCUAUUACCUUGGCGGGCCGCCGCAAGGCCCUAGCUCCGGCUAGGUCGCGCCUGUCAGAGGACCUCUAAACUCCGAGUAUCAGUGUCGUCUAAGUAGCUAUAUAUAAUGGUAAAA